rnacentral:tRNA from 1 species
GCCUUCGUGGUGGAAUUGGUAUACACACACGUUUGAGGGGCGUGGCCUUUUAGGCGUAAGGGUUCGAGUCCCUUCGAAGGCA